AAGCAGCUGGCAAACCUUAUCUUCAGUUCACCUUGCCGCCUUGGCUCUUAGGCACCGCUGCCGUCAUACCGUUUUGCCACCGCCACCAGUGCGUCGACCUCCGCCGUUGUCACACAUUGGGGCUAGUUAAGCUGUGCCUUCUCCUCUCCAUCCGAUGCUGGACUGCCACCUCCGCCGCCGCUACCCAGGUGCGAACUACUACCCUGUGUGGGCGGAUGAGCAAGGACCACAGCUGCUCAGUGCAGACAUAUGGCGGGGACGCGCGCGAAUAGGUGCUACUGCUGGAGGCAGGCGCGGAGGUGCGGUUUAUGUCACCUGGGCAAGGCCGCCGUCGCUGCUCGGGCUGGGUUCGCCGGCCUUGAGAAGGGGGAGUUCUCGAUCGAGAAGGCUCUCGACAACCUUACCUGAUGCUCCGACUGUUCGAUGGUGAAUUGACAUGAGGAUCAGCAGGAGACGUGGCACAACCACUGCUCGAGAAAGGCCCGAUUCCGUAACCGAGUCUCGUCUCGUUAUUUCUGCUGAUACUAGGGUGUAAAGUUUUAGUUCGUGUCACAUCGAAUAUUCGAAGACUAAUUAGGAGGAUUAAAUAUGAGUUACUAAUUAUAUAGAUGGAGGCUAAAUGGCGAGCCGAAUCUAUUAAGCCUAAUUAAUCCAUCAUUAGCAAAUGUUUACUGCAGCAUAUUGUCAAAUGAUGGAUUAAUUAGGUUUAAUAGAUUCGUCUCGCCAUUUAAACUUCAUCUGUGCAAUAGAUUUUAUAAAUAAUCUAUAUUUAAAUCAUCCCAAUAUUCUGCUGUAGGCAGUUUCGCUCGUGGAAAGCGGCGUGCGGCAGGAUUAAUUUUCUAAUACAGCCUCCAUCAUUUUUAUCUAUGGCUCAGGAACGUGUUCUCUUUACAAUUACGCUUCCCAGUGACACAUAAAAAGAUACAGAGGUAGCUCACAUGGACCUGACAUGGUGGUCAAGUCUACCAGGCAUAUACAUCAAUCAAUCCAUAAAACAUCGAACCAAAUCAGAGACGAUGAUUGUGCCCAUUGGGAGGAAUCUUUUGUUUCGUCACGGUUCACAUCACAUUUCUUGUCGCUUCUUUACAAACAUGCCCGUUAACGCGAACUCUUAGCUUGGAAGAUGCUCUGCAAUGUCUGCACUAUGCAAAUCAGGAUUCCUC
rnacentral:lncRNA from 1 species